rnacentral:lncRNA from 1 species
GGGCUCAGACCCACUUAUCUUAACCCGAGGCUCACCACAAUCUCCUCAUAGAUAUCCGGAUCCUCUCUUGCUGCAAACAAUCCAUUUGACACUAUCUUUCCAAAGUCACGGCUCUCCGAUACCCGCACAUCUCACAUAGAACCAUCCUAUGCAUCACUGCCAUUGGUGCUAGAAACUAGCUCCAUCCGUGCACCCCUAGACUUUAAACUCGUACCAAACCAUCCUCCACCCAUGGAGG